CAGGGAAGCAUGCUUUAAAAAAAAAAAAAAAAGGAUCAAGCUUAUUUCUUCUGAAUGUUAUGAUUUUCCCUGAAUUUUAGGUUAAUAUGAAGAGAAUUGGAAAGUUCCACUGAAGUCCUCAAACAGAUUUCUCAUUUCACGCUCAGAAGGAGACUAAGAAGAGUGGAAAAACAAGUGAGCUAACACACAGAAUGAGGUUGGCCUUAAAGACAAAUAGAGCCUUCCCAGAGUACACCGAUAUUCUUCAUUGCCAGUCCUCAAAUGUGGGAAGUACUGGCAGAUUCCUACUACAACCAGGUGACUGUAUGAAGGCAAUAGAAGUUCUGUAAGAAUCACUGACAAAGGAAACAUUUGGUCAGACACAACUGCAACAGUUCCAAAAGGCUCCAGAAAACAGAGGCAAAGUCUAUCACUGCGUGGCUAACUACAGAAACUGUUCCCAACAUCCUUAGCGAGGGUUUUGCACCAGGUCAAAGGGGAACAGGAAUUCGUGUGCUGCAACAUAGGUAUGUAAAUUGAGCUUCUAUUUCGGGAGCAAGAAACUUUGUAAGACAUCCAUAUUAAGC
rnacentral:lncRNA from 1 species